UCCCGCCUUCCCAGCCCGCGCGCUCCCAGGGAAGGGGCGGAGUUCUCCGGCUCUGCUGACACCGUCGCCACGGCAACGCGGCCAUACUGGCCCCAACGGACCCGGGAUCUGGGGCUGAGGCGCUGCGGCCUCGUGGGCAGACCGGAGCAUGGACACCCUCUUCGUGGAGGAGGUGGCGGCCUCCCUGGUCAGGGAGUUCCUCAGCAGGAAGGGCUUAAAGAAGACGUGUGUGACCAUGGACCAGGAACGCCCACGCUCUGAUCUCAGCAUAAACAGCAGAAACCAUCUCCGAAAGGUUUUGCAUCUUGAAGUUCUCUACAAGGAGAACAAGGCAAAGGGAAAUCCUCUAAAAACAAACCUUGAGCUCAUCACCAGAUAUUUUCUGGAUCACUUUGGAAAUACUGGUAACAAUUUUACUCAAGAAACACCAAUCCCUGCACUCUCAAUACCAAAGAAAAAUAACAAAUUACCAUUGAGAUGCUCAGAGACCACGCUGGUAAAUAUAUAUGACCUUGCAAAUGAAGAUGCGAGUUGGAGAACAUCAUUGUCAGAAACAAGCAAAGCCAGACACGACAGUCUUAAUGGGGAUGUACUUGGUAAUUUUGCAUCAUCCAAAAGGGCCUCCCACAAAAGUAAGCCCUUGCAGACUGUCCCAGGUGAAAGCCCUCCUGUGGCUCCUGCUUGGGAGAAGAUGGACAAGCUUCAGUCAUCGGAGCCUUCUUUGGACACGAAGAGGAUGGGAGAGAAGAUCAGGCCAAAGUCUGGCCUGAUUGUCCGAGGCAUGAUGGCCGGGCCCAUCGCCAGCUCCCCACAGGAUUCCCUCCGCAAACGCUCGCUGAGGCAGUCCCCGGCCUUGAGCAGCACGACCCAACCCCACGAGGAGGGGAGCCUACAAGUGCCCGAGCUGUCUGCUCACACCCCAGCCUGUCCCCCCCAUGUCCCGCAGGAGGGCCCGGCUUCCAGCACCACCUCCCCCCCCAGGAGCACCCUGGGCCUGCUCAGCCAGCUGACCUUGGAAAAGCGGAGAGCCUCGCCCAGCAGCCCUCCUCACCUGCCAGGCAAAGGGCUUUCCCAGAGCGGGAGCGGCCGGUGGAGAGACCUUUCAGAGGGCAGCCCAGCCGUGGACAGCGGCCCAGAGGCCGACAGGACCGCCUUGAAUUUCUCCUUGUCCAGUGGGAAUGCCCCGACGACCCAGGAGAGGCUGGAAAGAGUGUUCAAACAGCAGGGGAGCCAGACCCCGGCCGUCAGGAAUAAUCAGUUGCCAGCAUCCAGCAAGGUCGAUGGUGAGCUGGGUGUGCUGCAGCUUGAGGAUGUGGAGGAUGAAUUGGUAAGGGAAGAAGUCAUCCUGUCUCCCGUCCCAUCAAUGCUCAAGCUGCAAGUAGAGUCAAAGCCCAUCGACCUCUCAGUGGCAAAGGACAUAAAGACCAUUCUGUUUGGUUCCAGCUUUUGCUGUUUCAAUGAAGAGUGGAAACUUCAGAGUUUUUCCUUUAACGACUCAGCGUCAUUAAAAUAUGGCAUCGUGCAGAACAAGGGUGGUCCCUGUGGGGUUCUGGCAGCUGUCCAAGGCUGUGUCCUACAGAAACUCCUGUUUGAAGGAGAUAGCAGAGCUGACUGUGCUCGGCAGCUGCAGCCUUCAGACGCUCGUAGGACCCGCUGCCUGGCCCUGGCCAUCGCGGACAUUGUGUGGCGGGCUGGAGGCCACAAGAGAGCCGUGGUCACACUGGCUUCGAGAACACAGCAGUUCAGUCCAACCGGGAAAUACAAAGCAGAUGGAGUCUUAGAAACACUCAUACUCCACAGUUUGACCUGCUACGAGGAGCUGGUGACUUUUCUUCAACAGAGCGUCCAUCAGUUUGAAGCAGGCCCCUACGGAUGUGUCCUGCUCACCCUGUCGGCCAUCCUGUCCAGGUCCACAGAGCUUGUCCGCCAGGACUUCGACGUCCCCACCAGCCACCUGAUUGGAGCACACGGAUACUGCACGCAGGAACUUGUCAAUCUGCUCCUGACCGGGAAAGCCGUGUCCAAUGUUUUCAACGACGUGGUUGAGCUGGAUUCUGGGAACGGGAAUAUCAUGCUGCUCAAAGGCAUCACCUCGCGCAGCGACAUCGGCCUCCUGUCCCUCUUCGAACACUACAGCGUGUGCCAGGUCGGCUGCUUCCUGAAGACCCCGAGGUUCCCCAUCUGGGUGGUGUGCAGUGAGAGCCACUUCAGCGUCCUCUUCAGCCUGCAGCUGGAGCUGCUGCGAGAUUGGAGGACCGAGAGGCUCUUUGACCUUUACUACUACGACGGCCUGGCCAACCAGCAGGAGCAGAUAAGGCUGACCAUCGGUGUGCCGCCUCCCCGCCUGCCCUGUCUGUCCCCGGGGGAGUCUCCAGACCGGUCGGGGACGCCGGCCUUAGCACGCCCAGUCAGGGCAGUCAGAGAACAAUGCAGACUGGGAGGUCAGAGGGCAAGUGUGAGCAGGUCCUCCUGCAGGAGGGGGCCAGAGCUGGGCCUUGAGAAACUGAUGGCCUUAAGGGUACAAGGUGAGGUUGAGACUACGUAGUAGACGGUAUCACGGCAACAAGUUUGGGUUUUAUUCUCCAGGCGAUGGGGAGCCAUGGAAGGUUUUGGAGCAGGGGAAUGAUGGGAUAAGACAUGUUUUUAGAAAGAAUUAUUCUGGGAGCUGGAAGGAGGCAGGAGGGUGGGGUGGAGACUGGAGGUGGGAGGCCAGUGAGCAGGGACACCCGUGGUGUCCAGGUCAGAACCGAUGGGCAGGAACCAGGGAGGGUCCAAAUAAGAGAAGAGGGGCAGGUACCAGAAGAGUCAGGUCCCAGGAGGAGGGUUGUUGGUGCUGACCUCGGGGUGAACGUGGGCCCUGGGCUGAUGAGCGUGUGCCUCUCUCUCCCCGCUCCCCAGACACCACCCAGACCGUCCCCGAGGACAGAGACAACGACCUCGUUCCUCCCCUGGAGCUCUGCAUCAGAACCAAGUGGAAGGGGGCAUCGGUGAACUGGAACGGCUCGGACCCCAUCCUGUGACCCUCCAUGUGGGUGAGCCCCAUGGCUCCAGCACACAUCGCUGGGGGUGACGGCUGAGCCCUGGGCCUCAGGGACAAGUCUGGGCCAGCACCUGGGCCAGCACUGCUGCAGAAGCAUCCAGAACCUCCCUGCCCCUUCCAUGAAGGGCCUGCCCAGGACUGUGCUGUGGACCCAGAGUGCCGCUGUGCAGCCCCUCCCAGCUGAGCGGUGACUGCCAAGGCCUGGAAGGAGGCUGGUGGGGCCUCUGCUGCCUUUUCUCUGCAUCCCUCCCUUGCUCCCUGCGGGGCCGGCCCCUUGCCAAGCCUCUGAUAUGGUCGGCCCGGGACCCUGGGCACUCGUUAUUUCUGAUGGUUGGCUUUCUAUAAAACAGAAGUCAAACCCAUGCUGAGGGCCGAACCUCAUUUGUUCUGUUGCCGCAAAGGAAGCAUGAGGUCUGGCCGGCUCAUGGCUGGGGUGGGGAUGGUGAUGGGUGGAGGGGCCCCAGAGCCCCGGAGACCUGUGGGCUAAGUCGUCACCUAACGAGGGUCUCUGCAGGCGAACCAUGCCCUCUGGCCCACUGGUGUCCCUGGCUGGGCUUCUGGUUUGGCCUGGCUUCUGUGGAUCAGCCCCAGGUCUAAGGCACCAGGCUCCGAAAGCUGUGCCGACCAGGAGAAACUGAGGCUCCCUGGGAGCCCAUCUCGGGGCCGACCUGGAUCUCUGCGAGGCCCCAUGAGGACGGUCAUGUGGACCUGGAGGGUAGGCUACACCUGGCCAAGCAGAUAUGGGGAAAAGAACCUUUCAGGGAGGGACCUCUUGGCCAGGGAGGACACCGAGGUGAGGAUGAGAAGAGGGACUGAGUGUGGUCCCCCGUGUGGCUGCAGCGGGGCGUGUGCGGAGAGAACUGGCUGAACUGCUCCGGUGGGCAGAGGCUGUGGAGACCCUCGCAUUCCAGACUGAGGGUAGGAUAGGUGGGAAGGGGGAAAACUCCAUAAUCGCUUGUGAAGGGAAAAUUGUACUCGGAGCCUCCUUCGUUCCAACCAGCCCUCAGCCUCCGUGCGCCCCCUUGGGCUCAGGACACAAGCAGCUCGGGGGCCGUGCUCCCCCCGAGGGAGACCCCCUCCUCUUUAAGGGCCAGGCAUGCAGGAGGUAAAGCUGGCAUUUGGUGGUGACAACUAAAGAGCCUGUUCUGUGCUCUCGUGAGCUGGGUAAGAAGAGCGGUGGCCGGACUGGGGGUCUUUGGGGAGCGGCAGGGAGGAGCUGGCAGGGAGAGCUUUGUCCAGGCUGUGCCACGGCCCCCGUGGAGUUUGCUGUGUAAACUCCAGUGGCCAUUCACAGCAGGCGUCCAGCAGAAAUGCUUCCUAUAUGUCCCUGAAAUGUUUAUGCAUUUGUUUUCCUUGGCCAGGAUCAGGCCUCUCCAGCUGAGCGACCGGGUGGAGGAAGUCGGUUUCCCUGCAGUGGCCUUGUUUAUCAGCCUGGGAAGGAAAAGUGUGUCUUUUCAAUAAAACACUUAACCUCCUGACCAGGGUGCCAUGGGCGGAACUGGAGAAAUCAAAAUAUUCCCAGCGUUGCUUGGGAAGACCAGUUCCAACAAAUUACAAAAGCACUUUUCUAGAAGCCAAGACAUAGGUACAUGUGCAGCAUGACGUCCCUUGCCUGGGAUUAUCUGGAAAGGAAGAUGAGCAAAGCCCAACACCGCCCUCUCCCAGGUCCACAAGUCAGAAUGAGCCCACGGUACCACUGCCAGACCUACCAGAAUGAAAUGCAGGCCCUGCUUCCUCACACAUGGUGCUCUCCUUCUGGGCUGCAGGGUUUUCUAAGGAGACUGUGGGUAGGCUUCAGAGGGUCCAUAGCCGCCCCCCACCCACCGCCCUGCCAAAUUAAAUUAAAAUCUUUGUGUACAUGUACAUUUGUGUAAUUUUCUGGGGAGAGAGUCUAUAGCCUACCUCAUGGCCUUGAUCUUGGAACAAUACCCAUCUCUUUUCCCCCAGAAGGUUAAGAACCAUAUCCUAGGGUCGAGUGGCCUCUCAAAGACUGAA